UGUAAAGUUCAAGCUCCGAUUUUGUGAGGGCGAAACCGCGAAUGGCUCAUUAAAUCAGUCAUAAUCUACUUGAUUGUUUAGUGUUAUAUGGAUAACUGUGGUAAUUCUAGAGCUAAUACAUGCGUGAAGGGGGCGACUUGUGGUCAGCAAUGGCCGUGAGAAGCCUCGCGUUUAUUAGAAUAAGACCAAUGAUGGUGUCAAAACCGUCUCAAUUUAAGGUGACUUUGAGUAAAUAACGGGUGCAAGCCCGUGAUGCCGACCUGGCAUACCAAACGGUUAUUCGUAGCUGGCCAGGCGAAUCAAUCGAGUGUCUGCUCUAUCAACUGUGGAUGGUAGGGUAAUUGCCUACCAUGGUGAUGACGGGUAACGGGGAGUUAGGGCUCGACUCCGGAGAACAAGCCUGAGAAACGGCUAGUAGGACUAAGGUCUGCAGCAGGCGCGAAACUUACACAAUGCUAGAUUUCGAUUAGCGAUGUAGUGAAGAAAAAUAACGAUGUGCUUCCUUUUAAACAAGGUUGCACAAUUGGAAUGAGACGACUUUAAAACAGUCAGUCGAGUAACAAAUGGAGGGCAAGUCUGGUGCCAGCAGCCGCGGUAAUUCCAGCUCCAUUAGCAUACAUUAAAGUUGUUGCGGUUAAAAAGCUCGUAGUUGAAUGUCUGGCGGGCUCUUGGGUGGGUGGUGCAUCAAGGCUGACUUCGGUCGGCUGCGCCUCCUUUACCCUCUUGGCCCGUUGUUUCGUCACUUAAUCGAGUGCGAAGCGUGUCGAUGGAGUAGAAAGUUAACUCUUUCAACGCCACUGGCAAGUUUACCUUGAGAAAAUUAGAGUGCUCAGCGCAGGCAGUCGGGGUGUAAAAGCCCCUUUAUGCUUGAAUAAUGUUGCAUGGAAUAAUAGAAUACGGCCUCGGUUCUAUUCUGUUGGUCUUAUAGAACAACAAACAAGUUGGUGCGGGCGAUCAAUGCGACUGUCUGGUGUGGUCUAUUCGAAAUUCGUGCUGUCUGCGGCCUCAAAAUCGCAGUACCUCAUUUUCGGUAUUCCAUCAAAGCACCUCUCAGAAGCAUGCCCACACACCAACUGAGGCAAUGGUUAAAAGAAAUAGUCGCGGCGGCAUCAGUACUGCAUCGUGAGAGGUGAAAUUCUUAGACCGAUGCAAGACUAACUGAAGCGAAAGCGUUUGCCGAGGAUAUUUUCAUUAAUCAAGAACGAAAGUUAGAGGUUCGAAGGCGAUCAGAUACCGCCCUAGUUCUAACCAUAAACGUUGCCAACUAGCAAUUGGGUUGCGAUUCCUUUAAUUGGAGCCUAAAAAACUCCAAUCAUUAUGAUCCACCCAGCGGCUCUCGUAGGGAAACCAAAGUGUUUGGGUUCCGGGGGAAGUAUGAUUGCAAAGUUGAAACUUAAAGGAAUUGACGGAAGGGCACCACCAGGAGUGGAGCCUGCGGCUUAAUUUGACUCAACACGGGGAAACUUACUAGAUUAGAACUCUGGAAUGAUUGACAGAUUGAUAGCUAUUUCUUGAUUCAGAGGAUGGUGGUGCAUGGCCGUUCUUGAUUCGUAUUCCGAAACGUCUGCUUAAUUGCGAUAACGAGUGAGACCUCACCCAACUAACUAGUCGCUUAGUGCGCUGUGGGACGCAAAAGUUUGUUGUGGGUUCGGUUUGCGGGAAAGGCUUCACGGCCCGACUCGUACGCUACCAUUUCAAAUGUCCUCUGCUCGCUAGCGGACUUCUUAGAGGGAUAAACGGUGUUUUAGCCGUAAGAAACGAGGCAAUAACAGGUCUGUGAUGCCCUUAGAUAUUCUAGGCCGCACGCGUGCUACAAUGGCGUGUGCAGAAAGCUUGUUCGAGAUUCGUCCAGAGAGAACUAGCCAUUUGGUGCGUGUUGGCGUCAAAACUAGCAUGUAUCGGUGGACAAGUGACUUUGGCUCGCGAGUCGAGAGAAACCGCGGCCGAAAGGUCGUGGCAAUCAUAAAUACACGCCGUGAUUUGGGAUUGGGGAUUGCAAUUGUUGCCCAUGAACGAGGAAUUCCCAGUAAGCGCGAUUCAUCAUAUCGCGUUGAUUACGUCCCUGCCCUUUGUACACACCGCCCGUCGCUACUACCGAUUGGAAGUUUUAGUGAGGCAUCUGGACUUGCCGUCCAAGGGAGGGGCAACCUUUCCAGGAACGGCGGGGAAGUUUGUCGAACUCAAAUUUCUAGAGGAAGUAAAAGUCGUAACAAGGUUUCCGU
rnacentral:rRNA from 1 species